UACGUAGGGGGCUAGCGUUGUCCGGAAUCAUUGGGCGUAAAGAGCGCGUAGGCGGCUAGAUAAGUCCGGUGUGAAAGUCACAGGCUCAACCUGUGAAUGCCGCUGGAAACUGUCUGGCUAGAGUCCGGAAGGGGCGAGUGGAAUUCCUGGUGUAGCGGUGAAAUGCGUAGAUAUCUGGAGGAACACCGGUGGCGAAGGCGGCAUCCUGGACCAACACUGACGCUGAGUGAGCGAAAGCCAGGGGAGCAAACGGG
rnacentral:rRNA from 1 species